rnacentral:rRNA from 1 species
AUGAGGUUGACAAAACGUGAUGCUGGUAAAGUCAAUUUAGAGAACUAUGUGUUCGACCAAAAUGUUGCUAGGAAAGAACUUGCUAUCAUGAUAUGUGUGCAUGAGUACCCUUUGCCCAUGAUUUACCAUGCUAGUUUCAUAUCUUUUUGUGCAUCCUUACAACCUAUAUUCAAGAUGGUCAAUAGAAAUACAAUCAAGAAUGAUAUAAUUGGUCUCCGUCGAACGCAAAAGAACACUAUGAUCCAGUAUUUUUUGCAAAAUUCAAUCAUCGAGUGGUUGUGA